ACUGUGUCACUGGUUUUCUUUUCCUCUUUAAGAAACCAUUUGUUGCCAUGUUUCUGCUACAUGAAAAGAAAACCAGAGCAGAUGUGAAACCUUCAUGCUUAACAAUGGUGCUUUAUGGUGCCAUCAUGUCCGUUCUGAAAAAAAAGGCAACUCUAAGGCACAUCCUUACCGGCAGCAAAACCAGUCUUUCCCAAGGCCACUAUACCUGGAGACACAAUCAGGUUCUCCAGCAACUGGCAAACAUCCUGGUGCAAAAGAGAAUUGUUGCCAAUGCUCUAUCUCCCCAAACAACUGGCACACCACUACCCUCGUACCAGCAGGACGACUCCCAAAGCUUCCACUACAAGGAGGGAAGCAAGCCUGCCACAAGCUCAUCUUUCCACCAGAGAUCAUGACAAACAUGAUAUAACAAAUCUCAGGCCAGAGCUGGUCUUGUUGUCUACCUUACUAAGGGAUCUAUGCAUUGUGGAGCUAACCCUGUGUCUAGACAGUACGUGUCACGUCAGUGACAACAGUGUUCACGCAUCACUGAAGUGACUGUCUAUACUGGGUCCAUCUUGUCUGUGCACUUCAAAGCGUCAAGCAGCAAAGGAGCAGCCAAACUUGCAGUGUGCAGUUUUCCUUUGAUAUGUGUUCAUUGCUACAGGAGUCAUUUUGGAGCCUUGCUUUCAGCUAAUGACUUGGUGUUCAGACUGUAGCAGACUCAGUACACCUGGUGUGUGAGGCCAUAGAAACAUUUAUGAAUAUUGAUCUACCUAAGCCAAAUGAAGAGACAUGGAGUAGCAUUGCACAGAGGUUUUGGGAGAAUUGGAACUUCCCAAAUUGCCUUGGGGCAAUGGGUGGAUGGAAAAAAUGUGCAGAUGCAGACACCACCUCUGUCAGGCAGCAAGUUUUUCGACUACAAGAAGACAUUUUGUUGAUGCAGACUAUAAAUUACGGCUGGAAAAGGAUCCCUUCAUGUGCCACCAAAUUGCCCUAUGCCUGGUGCAGACAGACUUGGUGAUCUGCCAUUCACCAUAGUGGCAGACACUGCUUUCCCACUGAAACAGUAUCUUAUGAGACCGUACCCUUGCCACAACCUCACAAAAGAGAAGAGGAUGUUCAGCUAUCGGUUGUCUCAGGCACGAAUGGUGGUUGAGAAUGCAUUUGGCAUCAAGGUGGAGGGUAUACUACCAGAGAAUCAAGCUGAAACCUGACAGAGUGAACACACUUCUUAUGGCUGCUUGCAUCCUCCAUAACUUCUUGCUGACACCAAGUGACUCACAAAGACUAUUAAAUGAAGGACAGCAGAUGGGGAUGCAGAUGCGUACUGUCAAGAACAUGGGGGGAAAUUGGGGCUAAAUGGCUGCUUUUGAUGUAAGGGAGAUCUUGUACAUACUUUAACUCACCACAGGGCAGUGUGUCAUGGCAGGACAGUAUGAUAAAACAGGUGAAAUGUGUUGGCAAAGGGACUGGUGACUGCUCUAAAUAUGUAAAUAGCAUUAUAAGUAGGUUGAGUUUAAGUUCUGAAUGUCAUAGUUUUUCCUUUUGUAAUAAUCCAUAUUGGCAACACUGUUAUCAUUUCAUGCCUUCUUUUGUAUUGUCAUAGUAAAAUCGUUCUGUGAUUU